UGCAAGGCAUGUUAAACAACCUGAAAGUAAAUCUUUUGGUGUUUAAAAAUCAUAUUGUCAAUACCAAAGCUGCUUGAGGCAAUCUACAUUUGUAUAUUGGUUUUGUUAAUCGGCAGAGGUAUGGAUAAUCAUAACAUGGUAAUUUGGAUAGACGAUUUUUGGAAACAAGGAUAUAAACAUUUUCCGAUGGGCAUGGGCGAUAAUUACACGUACAGCAGUUUGACGAGGACGAUUGUUUACAUGUAUAAUUAUUGCUGAACAUUGAUUGUUCUCAGGUGAAGGUUAAAUACUUGGGUAGCCUAAACUAAGUUAUACACUAGUGAAGGGAGAGGAGGGCGAUUGUUAUAGGGACUCUUCACAAAUACAAUUACAUGUAAAACUUGGUGAUAAACUAAACAAUUUUGGCCUCUGAAGUAGAUAGUCUAAGCAAUUUUUGUAAUUUGUAUUCAAUAGAUCCGACACAGUAUCAUACCUGUUAAGUAAUAGCAAAAAGGUAGUGUAUGCUUUGCAAAUGUUUUAUUUAUCAUAUAUUAACAUUUUUACGAAAUUGUUAUUUUUCUAUUUAAACUUUGAUUUCAAGUUUGAUGAAGAUUGUUGACAUGCAAAUGUAAAUGUUGCAUAGAAAUAAAGAUAAACUGAAACUUGAACAUUGACAUAAAUUAGUUGUACACAAGGUGGCAACUGAAACGAGCGAUGUAUUUUUUUUCUCCUUUACACUUACAAAAGAAAAAUUCAGAUGAGUAUCUUAAUAGCUCAUCUAUAUCCUUAAUUAUUAUGUACUGUAUAAUCUGAGAGGGAAGUAUCUCUUUUUGAAUAAAAGGUGUCAACUUGUU